AAAUUGAAGAGUUUGAUCAUGGCUCAGAUUGAACGCUGGCGGCAGGCCUAACACAUGCAAGUCGAACGGUAACAGGAAGCAGCUUGCUGCUUCGCUGACGAGUGGCGGACGGGUGAGUAAUGUCUGGGAAACUGCCUGAUGGAGGGGGAUAACUACUGGAAACGGUGGCUAAUACCGCAUAACGUCGCAAGACCAAAGAGGGGGACCUUCGGGCCUCUUGCCAUCAGAUGUGCCCAGAUGGGAUUAGCUAGUUGGUGAGGUAAUGGCUCACCAAGGCGACGAUCCCUAGCUGGUCUGAGAGGAUGACCAGCCACACUGGAACUGAGACACGGUCCAGACUCCUACGGGAGGCAGCAGUGGGGAAUAUUGCACAAUGGGCGCAAGCCUGAUGCAGCCAUGCCGCGUGUAUGAAGAAGGCCUUCGGGUUGUAAAGUACUUUCAGCGGGGAGGAAGGUGUUGCGGUUAAUAACCGCAGCAAUUGACGUUACCCGCAGAAGAAGCACCGGCUAACUCCGUGCCAGCAGCCGCGGUAAUACGGAGGGUGCAAGCGUUAAUCGGAAUUACUGGGCGUAAAGCGCACGCAGGCAGUCUGUCAAGUCGGAUGUGAAAUCCCCGGGCUCAACCUGGGAACUGCAUUCGAAACUGGCAGGCUUGAGUCUUGUAGAGGGGGGUAGAAUUCCAGGUGUAGCGGUGAAAUGCGUAGAGAUCUGGAGGAAUACCGGUGGCGAAGGCGGCCCCCUGGACAAAGACUGACGCUCAGGUGCGAAAGCGUGGGGAGCAAACAGGAUUAGAUACCCUGGUAGUCCACGCCGUAAACGAUGUCUACUUGGAGGUUGUGCCCUUGAGGCGUGGCUUCCGGAGCUAACGCGUUAAGUAGACCGCCUGGGGAGUACGGCCGCAAGGUUAAAACUCAAAUGAAUUGACGGGGGCCCGCACAAGCGGUGGAGCAUGUGGUUUAAUUCGAUGCAACGCGAAGAACCUUACCUGGUCUUGACAUCCACAGAACUUUCCAGAGAUGGA
rnacentral:rRNA from 1 species